UCACUCUUGUGAGGAGCCCUUCAUGUUCAGUAGGAUUGGUGUUUGGAGAGGGCUUUCUGGUCUCAUUUGGUCUCUCUCCUUGUAAGAACCAAGAUAAGUUUAGCCAUGCUGUGGGCGGGGGCCCUGCUUCUAGCUUUCCUGCCAGCUGGCAGUCAAACACCUUCCAACAUGGAAGGGGGAAUGGUCUCAGUCACCAGGAAUCCUGGGUCACAUCUUACAAUCAGUUGUGACCUGCGAGCAGGAAGGAGUUACACUCACUGGUACCGAUUUCAGGAGGGGCAGGUCCCCCAGCGCCUUCUCUAUUAUGACUUCUCCAGCUCCAAGGCUGUGCUGGAUUCGGGAUUCAAACCAGGGAAAUACAAUGCUUACCAAGCUACAGAGCAUAGCAACAAAUUUGUACUACGGAGUGUGGAAGAAGGUGAUGCCGGUGUGUACUACUGUGCAGUGUGGACAGGCACAGUGCUUCACACCUGCUCUGUGCUACACCCAAAAGUCCGCUUGUGGCUGCUCUUGGUACCCAGACUAGAUGGGCCCCCAGCUCACUUCCUGUGUUAA